GCGAUUUCUAGCGAUGAUUUCAAAUAUCCACGGAGUAACCUGUCAAUAAAUUGCUCGUCUUUUGUUGCACUUUUGCAAGUCUAAAGUCGGUUACAGACGAGCAAGUUUUCUAUGACAAGUUUUUAUGUGACAAGUUUUAUUUGCUCGUCUGUACGCGCAACUUUAACAAUUUUUGAACAAGUGCACUUGUCAUGCAUAGAAGAAAUUGUCAAAGUACAAAUUUUGUUCGUCUGUAUGGGUCAACAAAGAAAACUUGUCAAAGUAAUCUGAGCAUUUGAUGUGAUUGGCCAGCAGACUAUCAUAAUCUUUCUGCCAUGGCGGCGAUAAAGACCUUUUUCUGACACGUUCACACCAGUAAAUAAAACUUGCCAUGUGAAAACUUGUCAUAUAAAAUUUGUUGCAUAUACAUACGUGCACUUGGCAAAUAAAACUUGUCACAUAAAAACUUGUCAUAGAAAUGUAACCGACUUAAGCCUUCGACAGUUGGAUUUUCAAUGUUCUCAACAUUAAAAAAAUAGAGUACGACAUGAUUUCCUGUACUUUGGUAUAGAUACAAUGUAAAGCAAGGGCGUUGUGAUGUAAAACAUUGGAAAGAAAUAGGCUUGAAACAAAUCGACAUUUGGGUGUUCAAAUUCCGUGACACAAAACUCACACCAAAUGUUUACAGAUUUUAUACCAGAUAUCAACACUUGCGGUAGGAUAAAAAACACCAGGUUAAGAAGAAGCAGCAAAAUAACUUUUGAGAAUCUUCUUUCGUUUUCCAGUCUUUUCCUUUCUGCUCUAUGUUCCAGAUUUUUUGAUGCGUCAGUUCCAUUUAGUCGAUUGCCAAGUGAUUGUAUGUCAUGGCUUACAUGGAG